CAACCACAAACAAGCUUUGGUAUAUGGAUUUAAAAACAAUGAUGCUGAAAACGUAUACUAGAUCUCCAACAAAACAGGUAUACUCCCCAACCAUGAACAAUGCACAUCUGUUCAGGUUGGCCACAAGCAGGCCUUGCAACUUCUCAAAUUCCUUGUC